GACGAACGCUGGCGGCGUGCCUAACACAUGCAAGUCGAACGGAGGUUUUAGCAAUAAAAUCUUAGUGGCGAACCGGUGAGUAACGCGUAGACAGCCUGCCUUCUAGAUGGGGACAACACUGCGAAAGUGGUGCUAAUACCGAAUGUUGUAAUUGGAAUGCAUGUUCUGAUUACUAAAGGUGGCCUCUAUUUAUAAGCUAUCGCUAGAAGAUGGGUCUGCGUCUGAUUAGCUAGUUGGUGAGGUAAUGGCUCACCAAGGCGACGAUCAGUAGCCGGUCUGCGAGGAUGAACGGCCACACUGGGACUGAGACACGGCCCAGACUCCUACGGGAGGCAGCAGUGGGGAAUCUUCCGCAAUGGACGAAAGUCUGACGGAGCAACGCCGCGUGAGUGAAGAAGGUUUUCGGAUCGUAAAACUCUGUUUUCAGGGACGAAUGUGCUGAUUGUAAAUAAUGGUUGGUAAUGACGGUACCUGACAAGAAAGCCACGGCUAACUACGUGCCAGCAGCCGCCGUAACAC
rnacentral:rRNA from 1 species